rnacentral:rRNA from 1 species
CAGCCGCCGCGGGAAUACGGAGGGUGCGAGCGUUAAUCGGAAUUACUGGGCGUAAAGCGUGCGUAGGUGGUUGUAUAAGUUAUCUGUGAAAUUCCUGGGCUCAACCUGGGUAGGUCAGAUAAUACUGUAUGACUCGAGUAUGGGAGAGGGUAGUGGAAUUUCCGGUGUAGCGGUGAAAUGCGUAGAGAUCGGAAGGAACACCAGUGGCGAAGGCGGCUACCUGGCCUAAUACUGACACUGGGGCACGAAAGCGUGGGGAGCAAACAGGAUUAGAUACCCGCGUAGUCCCUGUCUCUUAUAU